UCCAGGUGACAGAGUUAAUAUUAGUAAGUAAGCAAAGUUUGGAAUCAGAAAUAGGGUUCUCAGUUAACAUAGUACUAGCAAAGUUUGCAGCAUAUAUGGGAGGAGGAGUUUGAGAAGUGGAGUCCCCUAACUUGGUCUGGUGUAAUAAAUUCAUCAACUGGUCAUGAUCUUGUCUGCUCAACCCUGGUAUCACAGAGCUCUGGCCAUCUAUUCUUGCAACAGAUUGAUGGCUAUCAGGAGGAUUCCCUUGAGGAACAGACAAAAGUNNNN
rnacentral:lncRNA from 1 species